GACGACAAAGGCAAACCCGUCGUGAGGCGGGGACGCAAAGCCACGGGACCCUCGCGGUCAGCCGGGCUACCGAAC
rnacentral:ncRNA from 1 species